rnacentral:rRNA from 1 species
AUUGAACGCUGGCGGCAGGCCUAACACAUGCAAGUCGAGCGGGGUUUUCGGACCUAGCGGCGGACGGGUGAGUAAUGCGUAGGAAGCUACCCGAUAGAGGGGGAUACCAGUUGGAAACGACUGUUAAUACCGCAUAAUGUCUACGGACCAAAGUGUGGGACCUUCGGGCCACAUGCUAUCGGAUGCGCCUACGUGGGAUUAGCUAGUUGGUGGGGUAAUGGCUCACCAAGGCGACGAUCCCUAGCUGGUUUGAGAGGAGGAUCAGCCACACUGGAACUGAGACACGGUCCAGACUCCUACGGGAGGCAGCAGUGGGGAAUAUUGGACAAUGGGCGCAAGCCUGAUCCAGCCAUGCCGCGUGUGUGAAGAAGGCCUUCGGGUUGUAAAGCACUUUCAGCGAGGAGGAAGGGAGUUGUGUUAACAGCACAGCUUCUUGACGUUACUCGCAGAAGAAGCACCGGCUAACUCUGUGCCAGCCGCCGCCGUAAGAC